rnacentral:rRNA from 1 species
AGAGUUUGAUCAUGGCUCAGAAUGAACGCUGGCGGCGUGCCUAACACAUGCAAGUCGAGCGCGAAAGUUCCUUCGGGAGCAAGUAGAGCGGCGAACGGGUGAGGAACACGUGAGAAUCUGCCCUUUGGUGAAGAAUACCACCGAGAAAUCGGUAUUAAUACUGCAUAAGUCCCUCCGGGGAGAAAGGUGGCUUUUAUGCUGCCGCCAUAGGAUGAGCUUGCGCGCUAUUAGCUAGUUGGUGAGGUAACGGCUCACCAAGGCGAUGAUGGCUAACCGGCCUGAGAGGGUGAACGGUCACACUGGAACUGAGACACGGUCCAGGGCCCUACGGGGGGCAGCAAUUAGGAAUCUUGCACAAUGGGGGAAACCCUGAUGCAGCGACGCCGCGUGAGGGAUGACGGAUUUCGGUCUGUAAACCUCUUUUAUCGGGGACGAAGAAUGUGACGGUACCCGAAGAAUAAGCCCCGGCUAACUACGUGCCAGCCGCCGCGGUAAUAC